rnacentral:rRNA from 1 species
GAUCCUGGCUCAGGAUGAACGCUGGCGGCGUGCCUAAUACAUGCAAGUCGAACGCUUUGUGGUUCAACUGAUUUGAAGAGCUUGCUCAGAUAUGACGAUGGACAUUGCAAAGAGUGGCGAACGGGUGAGUAACACGUGGGAAACCUACCUCUUAGCAGGGGAUAACAUUUGGAAACAGAUGCUAAUACCGUAUAACAAUGACAACCGCAUGGUUGUUAUUUAAAAGAUGGUUCUGCUAUCACUAAGAGAUGGUCCCGCGGUGCAUUAGCUAGUUGGUAAGGUAAUGGCUUACCAAGGCGAUGAUGCAUAGCCGAGUUGAGAGACUGAUCGGCCACAAUGGGACUGAGACACGGCCCAUACUCCUACGGGAGGCAGCAGUAGGGAAUCUUCCACAAUGGGCGAAAGCCUGAUGGAGCAACGCCGCGUGUGUGAUGAAGGGUUUCGGCUCGUAAAACACUGUUGUAAGAGAAGAAUGACAUUGAGAGUAACUGUUCAAUGUGUGACGGUAUCUUACCAGAAAGGAACGGCUAAAUACGUGCCAGCAGCCGCGGUAAUACGUAUGUUCCAAGCGUUAUCCGGAUUUAUUGGGCGUAAAGCGAGCGCAGACGGUUAUUUAAGUCUGAAGUGAAAGCCCUCAGCUCAACUGAGGAAUUGCUUUGGAAACUGGAUGACUUGAGUGCAGUAGAGGAAAGUGGAACUCCAUGUGUAGCGGUGAAAUGCGUAGAUAUAUGGAAGAACACCAGUGGCGAAGGCGGCUUUCUGGACUGUAACUGACGUUGAGGCUCGAAAGUGUGGGUAGCAAACAGGAUUAGAUACCCUGGUAGUCCACACCGUAAACGAUGAGUGCUAGGUGUUUGAGGGUUUCCGCCCUUAAGUGCCGCAGCUAACGCAUUAAGCACUCCGCCUGGGGAGUACGACCGCAAGGUUGAAACUCAAAGGAAUUGACGGGGACCCGCACAAGCGGUGGAGCAUGUGGUUUAAUUCGAAGCAACGCGAAGAACCUUACCAGGUCUUGACAUCCCUUGACAACUCCAGAGUUGGAGCGUUCCCUUCGGGGACAAGGUGACAGGUGGUGCAUGGUUGUCGUCAGCUCGUGUCGUGAGAUGUUGGGUUAAGUCCCGCAACGAGCGCAACCCUUAUUACUAGUUGCCAGCAUUUAGUUGGGCACUCUAGUGAGACUGCCGGUGACAAACCGGAGGAAGGUGGGGAUGACGUAAAAUCAUCAUGCCCCUUAUGACCUGGGCUACACACGUGCUACAAUGGCGUAUACAACGAGUUGCCAACCCGCGAGGGUGAGCUAAUCUCUUAAAGUACGUCUCAGUUCGGAUUGUAGGCUGCAACUCGCCUACAUGAAAUCGGAAUCGCUAGUAAUCGCGGAUCAGCACGCCGCGGUGAAUACGUUCCCGGGUCUUGUACACACCGCCCGUCACACCAUGAGAGUUUGUAACACCCAAAGCCGGUGGGGUAACCUUCGGGAGCCAGCCGUCUAAGGUGGGACAGAUGAUUAGGGUGAAGU